rnacentral:rRNA from 1 species
CCCUUAGAUGUUCUGGGCCGCACGCGCGCUACACUGUUCGACGCAGCGAGUCUUAACCUUGACCGAAAGGUUUGGGUAAUCUUCAGCAAAGUCGAACGUGAUGGGGAUCGAUCAUUGCAAUUAUUGAUCGUGAACGAGGAAUUCCUAGUAAGUGCAAGUCAUCAGCUUGCGCUGAUUACGUCCCUGCCCUUUGUACACAUCGCCCGUCGCUACUACCGAUUGAAUGGUUUAGUGAGAUCUCUGGAUUGACGCUGGCUAGGGGGCGACCCUUGGCCAGGCUGUCGAGAAACUGCUCAAACUUGAUCAUUUAGAGGAAGUAAAAGUCGUAACA